AUUGGUGGCCUUCGGGAACGUCUGACACAGGUGCUGCAUGGCUGUCGUCAGCCCGUGUCGUGAGAUGUUGGGUUAAGUCCGUAACGAGCGCAACCCUGUCCUUAGUUACCAGCACGUUAUGGUGGGCACUCUAAGGAGACUGCCGGUGACAAACCGGAGGAAGUGGGGAGUGACGUCAAGUCAUCAUGGCCCUUACGGCCUGGGCUACACACGUGCUACAAUGGUCGGUACAAAGGGUUGCCAAGCCGCGAGGUGGAGCUAAUCCCAUAAAACCGAUCGUAGUCCGGAUCGCAGUCUGCAACUCGACUGCGUGAAGUCGGAAUCGCUAGUAAUCGUGAAUCAGAAUGUCACGGUGAAUACGUUCCCGGGCCUU
rnacentral:rRNA from 1 species